rnacentral:tRNA from 1 species
GGCCUCGUAGCUUAAUGGGUAGAGCGUACGUUUUACAAAGGCGUAGGCGGCGUCAAUGCUUGAGUUCGAAUCCCACUGUGACUA